AACCCAAACUUUUUUUUUCCAUUAAGAUCAAAACGAAGAGAGUCCUGUCCCGUCCCGUAUCAUCCCCCCUCCGGUCCCCCACUCCCCCUCCCCCCCAGCAUGGCAACGUGGCUUUGCCACUGUCAGCAGUUCGUUGAGGGAGUGGGCAGGGAAAGCAGGCUGCAUGCACUCCACCCACGAAAGGCUUGGGAUCUUGAUCCUAGCAGCAGCCACCAAGCCAGACCAACUGGCAGUGGUCUGCUUGUGCCACACCAUCGCAGGACUCCAGCUGGGUGGGCAUUUGUGGGCAGCUUUGGCUUAGCUUUCGAAUGGGGAAACUGAGGUUCAGCACGUUAAGAGGAAAGGGCUGUGGAUAGUGCUGGUGAGUCUGAUCCGAGCCUGUGGCCUCUCUAACUACAUGCACCUCAGUCUUGGGAACUGCAGCAGCUGCAUCUGUCCUGAAACUCUUAAGGUCACUUGUGCCCUUCUGGAAGGUUCUGGAGCUGCUCUGCACGUCUGAAAGAAGCCAGAAACCUCUGUGGCUUGCAUAUGAUUCAGGGGAGGAAAUGGGCCCCUCUUACAAAGACAAGUAGACCUGGAGAGGUGGAAAAUUGGAGCCUUAACUUCCCAGGGCUCCCUGGGAGACUUUCCUCUCAUGCUGGUCAUUUGCAGCUUUACUGAGACAAGCAGGACAGAAUCCAUCUUCUACUUUGGAGGUUUUUGAAAUUGAAACACAAAAUGCCCAUCUUCCUGUUUUCCUGGAUUGGCUCUUCACCCAUCCGAUAAAGACUUAUUAUCUUGUAAAUAUCAGAUCCUGCUUUGGGCUCCCGAGGAUUCCUUAGAUAAGACCUUGACCUUGCCAGGCUACCGAGGUACUCCUCUCUCACCAGAGAGCAGUUAGGAUGAUGCCAGGGCCAGAGUCUAUCUACUUCUUCCAGCUGCUCCUGGAGAGACUUCCCCACCAAAUGAAGGCAUGGAGGAUGCUGCUCCUCUCCAAUCUGGAGACAUCUGCAUCUUUUCCCAAGAUGCCAGCUUUGCUUGUCCUUGAGACAUGAUUUGAUCUUACUGGUUACCUGCUGACCAGAGAGCUCCCUUCAACUACAGUAAAGUGGAUAUUGUUGCCAUCACUGAUCCCUUUAUUGACCUCAAAUUACAUGGUCUGUAUGUUUUAGUAUGACUGUAUCCAUAGCAAGUUCCAUGACACAGUCAAGACUAAGAUGGGAAACUUGUCAUCAAUGGAGAAGCCCUCUCCAUGUUCCAGGAGUGAGAUCCGGCCAACGCCAAAUAGGGGGAUGCUGAUGCUGGGUAUGUUGUGAAGUCUGGCUUCCUCCCUGCAAUGGAGAAGGCUGGGGACCACUUGAAGGGUGGGGCCAAAGGGUCAACAUCUCUGCCCCUUCCACCGAUGCCUCAUGUUUGUGAUGGGUAUGAACCAUGAGAAGUAUGACAUCUCACCCAAGAUUGUCAGCCAUGUUUCCUGCACUGCCAACCAUUUACCCCUUGGCCAAGGUCAUUCAUGACAAGUUAGGCAUUGUAGCAGGACUCAUGACCACAGUCUAUGCUGUCACUCCACUCAGAAGACUGUGGAUAGCCUCUCUGGGAAGCUGUAGCAUGAGGGCCAUAGGACUUCCCAGAACACCUGCAUCCACUGGUGUUGCCACAGCUGUGGGCAAGGUCAUCCCAGAGCUGAACAGGAAGCUCACUGUCACGGCCUUCCCUGUUUCUGUCUGCAAUGUGUCUGUCAUGGAUCUGACAUGUCGCCUGGAGAAAGCUGCCAAGUAUGACAACAUCAAGAACGUGGUGAAGCAGGCAUCGGAGAACCCUCUAAAGGGCAUCCUGGGCUACACCGAGGACCACGGAUCCUACAGCUUUAACAGUGACUCCUGCUCCUCUAUCUUCGAUGUUGGGGCUGACAUUGAUCUCAUUGGCAACUCUGUAAAACCAUGUCCUGGUAUAACAGCAAAUACAGCUAUAGCAAUGCAGUGGUGAAACUCAUGGCCUACAUGGCCUCCAAGGAGUAUGAAGUCCUGGCCCACCACCCCCAUCAGGGACAUGAGAGGAAGUGAGAGGCCCUAAGCUGCGGAGGAGUCUCUUCCCAACCAGCUGGAAACACUGACCAUCCCUCACAGAUCCCAGAAGAAGGGGAGGGGCAUAAGAAAACACACUCUCUUGAAUACCAUCAGUAAAGUUCACUGAAGUCCUUCCAAACCCUCCCACCAAAAAAGGCAUGGAGGGAGAGGGUCUGACCCACUGACACAGGAAUGUUCUGGAAGAGCAUUUAUGAGGUGGAUUCAGGGUAAAUUGGGCCUUUUGUCUUCUGUACUAGGAAUGAGACAGGGUGAGAAGAGAGGCCCAGGAAGCAGUGGCGGUUUCCUGGGCUACCUUAUUCAUCUCUGUGGAAUGGAAGCUGGCUGCCUCAUCCCUAACCUGAUUAUAGCAAGCCAGAGACAGCUAUCUCUCCUCUUCUUAAUGGGCCUUUAUGACCUCUCUCCUCUUUUCUAAAGGCUGACAGGGGGCUGUGGGUUAUAUCGUCUUCAUUUUCUGGAGAUCGGGAAGGGAUAAACUGUGACACAGCCAAGGCUGGAUAAGUGCCUCCUGCAGUGCUUUUGGUCUUAGCCAGGCACAGGACACUGCCCGUGUGCCUUGCUGUGCCCUCCAGCCCCAAGUGUGCAGCAGUCUGGGUUCCUGCCCAGGUUGACUUGUCCCUCCUAUGUAUUCUUCCCUGGCCUUAAGCUCAGGCUCCUGCGAGAAACUAAUGAGUGUUUCUGCUCUGUAGUUACAAGUCAGAAAACAACUGGCUCCCCGCUCGUCCUGGCUCAGGCUGUGGAGCUCUCUGCACCUGGUGUUUGGAACCCUGUGAGCCGAAGAACCAGGCUGAGGAAGGAAACACAGGGCUAGUGCAUUUCCUGGACCUGACAUCAUCUCUCCUGGGCCAGUACUUUUGCCUGAGGGAAGGAGACUUGAGGUAGUCUCUGGCUCAGAAACCCUGAUUAGGCCUGAGUCACUCUCUCCAUGAGCUUGUGUGGGAAACUACUUUGGCUGAAGUGUGGGGUGAGGCCAGGGUUUGCAGAAAACAAAUGGGGGGGAAGGAACCUCUAAAGACAAAGAGGGGUUCCCAGCUCCAUGGAAAGCUGAAUUUAAAGCAACCAAGGGCCCAAAGCCGGACAGCCUAUUCUGAUAUAAAGAAAAGCCCACAAUGCACUAACUCGAGGCCUAGCCCAUAUGCCCCCACUUAGCCUGCUCCCCAAGGCACACAAGGAAUCAAAGGUGGCUACCCCAGGAGCUCAAGGGACUGAACUGGCUAUUCUCUCCCCCUGGGUGGGCAGGCAGCAGGAUGUCCAUGGCUGAGGGGAAGAACUAGCCACAGGUAAGAAUGAUGUGGGGUGAGGAUCCCUUCUUCCCUGUGUUCCCUCUCUGAAGAGGACACCCUCAGCCAUCCCUCUGUCUGUAAACCGUGGUCACCUCUGGUUUCCUAGACUCCUGGAACAUUCUUUUCUCAAAGAAAAGGACUCUUUACCUUACUAGAUCUAACUGGGGAACUUGAGAUUGUAAGUAAGCCCUGCAGACCCACCCCUACCUUCAAUCUAUGCUUGGUGUAUAUCUCUCUGAUGGUUUCAAGCAUUUAGAUUUUUAAUUUGGACCCUUUGUUUUUUGGGGGCUUUUUUUGUUGUUUGUUUGUUUUGUUUUGUUUUUAGAUAUGGGAAAUUUAAAAGAAAUGAAACCAAAUGCCCCUGCCCCAAAGCAACAGUCAUUCACAUUCUUACCAUUCAUAGUAAACUGCCAUUUGUGUUUUGGCUCCGUGUGUGUGUGUGUGUGUGUGUGUGUGUGUGUGUGUGUGUGUGUGUGUGUGUGUGUGCUUCUAUAAUGAGCACUGUUUUUAAAAGCAUGCAACAGGCUGGAGAGAUGGCUUCGUGUUUAAGAGCGCAUUUUGAUCUUCCAGGAGACCUGAGGUCUGUUCGAAGCACUCACACGGGGCAGUUCACAACAGCCUGUAACUUCAGUCCCAGGGGAAUCUCAUGCCUCUGCCUCUGUGGGCAUCUGCAUUCUUGGCACAUAUCCUUUCUCCUCUGCCUACAUACACAUAAUUAAAAAUUAAAAUAAAAUAUUUAAAAGCA